rnacentral:rRNA from 1 species
UACGUAGGGGGCGAGCGUUGUCCGGAAUUACUGGGCGUAAAGGGAGCGUAGGCGGUCGAUUAAGUUAGAUGUGAAACCCCCGGGCUUAACUUGGGGACUGCAUCUAAUACUGGUUGACUUAGAGUACAGGAGAGGGAAGCGGAAUUCCUAGUGUAGCGGUGAAAUGCGUAGAUAUUAGGAGGAACACCAGUGGCGAAGGCGGCUUUCUGGACUGACACUGACGCUGAGGCUCGAAAGCGUGGGGAGCAAACAGGAUUAGAUACCCUGGUAGUCCACGCUGUAAACGAUGAAUACUAGGUGUAGGGGGUAUCAACUCCCUCUGUGCCGCAGCAAACGCAAUAAGUAUUCCGCCUGGGGAGUACGGCCGCAAGGUUGAA